rnacentral:lncRNA from 1 species
AUGCUUCCAGAAACCCAGGGGCUUCCGAGGGACUGCGGGAACAAUUACUUCCAAAUGAACUCGUGCGUCUUAGCAGGGAGCGUGCAGACCACACCCCAGGUCUCUUCUGGUGAUUCUGAAGCCAAACCUCUGAUCUUCACAUUUGUCCCCACUGUCAGAAGACUGCCAACCCACUCCCAGUUGGGUGCCACGUCUAAAUACAUUGUUAAAAUUCCUGAGGAACCAAGUGAGGAGACUCCAGAAACUGUAAAUAGGUUUGAUUCCAGUGAGUACUUGACCUUGAAUGUUGGGCACCAACAGGAGAGAGAACAAGGAGCCCUGACUUGUCCUUCAGAGGUUGAGGACAAGGCUUCCCAAGGAAAGGAAUUUAAAGAGAAGAAACCUCAAGGAAUGCAGCAAAGUGACCUCUUCAAAGCGGAAUAUGUCUUUAUCGUGGACUCUGAGGGGGAGGAGGAAGUCCCGGGCAGAAAAGGUGACCAGGGACCCCCGGUGGGGACAGGCCCCCCGGCUGCUCGGCCCUCGUCUCUCGCCAUUUCCUCCAGUCUGGCCUCCGAUGCGGUGCGCCCCAAAACGCGAGCGGCAGGCCUCCAGGCCCCGUCGCAUCCUGAACGGCCUCAGGCCAUGGCUCCCCCGCAAAGACACGGGCAGUUAACUUCUCCCACUACCUCUGAGCAGCUUGCCUGUAAACCACCUGCUUUCUCCUUUGUUUCUCCAACUAAUCAGAAAACACCACCUGCCCCAGGCGAGCUCGCCGGCGCCUCUGUCCUGGAGGAGUUCCACUCGAGGAGGCUGGAUGCCCACGGGGCCCUGGUGGAAGAAACAACCACGUACUUUCAAACUUCCGCUCACUCUGCACCCUUUUUUGCACCGAAGGGCACGUCCUCGACGUCACAGGUCCCCCAACCCGCUCAGUUAUCAGGUUCUCCUUCAUCCAGUCCAAGCACAGCACAGCAAAACCUGGGGCAGACUUCUGAAGUCCUCAAGAAGACAGUCAACUCGAACGGCCUUAGUCCCAAAGAGAGUCCGAGAGCCUCUUCUUCACCAGCCUCCGGUGCUUCUCUGAAGCCGAGUGCAGCCUCCUACAUCCCCGUCCGCAUCGUCACGCACUCGCUCUCGCCGAGUCCCAGAGCUUUCCCCUCCCCUUUCCACGGCUCCUCUUCCACGGUCUGUAGCCAAGCGUCCUCCAGCGCGAGCCUCUCGAGGUCAGGGGUGAAACCCCCGGUGCCCUCCAGGCUUUCCGUCCUCACCGCCAUCCUGAAGUCCAGCCCUUCUCACCAAAGGCCCCUCUCCCCGGCCUCCUGUCCCACCUUCUCUCUCAACUCCCUGGCUUCCUCCACGCUCACGCUUGAUCAAAAAGUCAAACAAACCUCACCCACACCUAAGAAAUCCCUCUCAAGUUGCUCCCUGCGAUCAGGGUCUCCAGAACAAAGGGAAAACCCAGUUUCCGACCUCAGCCAGCCAUCCUUCCCCUUUCCUUCUCCCGCCAAAGCUACACCCCCUCCCCAGGCAUCGGCCCUUUCUACCCCCAAACAGGGCAGUAGCAGCUUCGCUUCUGUGAUUGUAGAGAAAAUGCCACCCCCAACUCUGAAGAGCAGCCCAGUGACUUCCCAGCUGCAAACCGGUACCUCCAGCUCUGUGGGUCUGCCUCCCGUCCCUCCAAGCUUUUCUCCCCUGUCUUCCAAAGGCAGACAGGAUGCUGACCCCAGAAGCCCGGGAAAGCCCAGGGAUAUCUGCUCGCAUGCUUAUACAUCACCUUCCUCCACAUCGUCUUCUGUGUCUCCUCCCACUAACCCAAGGGCCAGGCUCUCCUCACCAGAGAGACGCUACCAUCCGUCCCCAGCUCUUUCAAACCUGAUAAACCGAUCUAAGAGCGCGCAAGCACCAGUGUCUGGCCAAGGGCAGACUCUGUCUACUCCACCCCCAGCCCCCGUCUCCAGCUCCAGCUCUGCCUCUCUUCCCCAUCUCGGGUCCUCUGCUCUCCCCCUGGCUAAUCCUCCCACAAAAGCACACAGGCUCAGUCCCUCUGCCCUGCACCCAAAUCUUACCCUGCCUUCAAGACUUGGAAAAUCCGAAAGCUCUAUAUCUGACCACAGGUCAUCUGUCUCAGCUCUGUCACCUCCCUUCUCUCUCACAAGAACCAAGGAGCUGAGUUCACCCUGUGCAUUGCCCAUGUCAGCAGGCCCUGAGAAUAAGAAACCCAAGCAAUACAAGACCAAGUCCAGCUACAAGGCUUUUGCAGCAAUCCCAACAAACACAUUGCUUUUGGAACAGAAGGCACUAGACGAACCAGCCAAGACGGACAGCAUUUCCAAGGACAAGACCUUAGACCCACCUCUGGAGUUGUGUUCCCCUGCACAGCUCAGGCAGCAAACUGAAGAGCUCUGUGCUACCAUUGAUAAGGUCUUACAGGAUUCCUUGUCUAUGCAUUCUUCUGAUUCUCCUUCAAGUUCCCUGCAGACUUUGUUGGGUUCUGACACAAUCAAAAUGCCUACAACUCUUCCAAGAGCAGCUGGUCGAGAAACCAAAUAUGCAAACCUCUCCUCACCAUCUUCUACGGUAUCAGAGAGUCAGCUGACAAAGCCUGGAGUAAUUCGCCCCGUACCGGUAAAAUCCAAAAUAUUACUGAAAAAAGAGGAGGAAGUCUAUGAACCCAAUCCUUUCAGUAAAUACCUGGAGGAUAACAGUGACUUCUUUUCUGAGCAGGAUGUGCCUGUCCCUCCCAAGCCUGUUUCUCUCCAUCCUUUAUAUCAGACUAGACUCCAUCCUACUGCUAAGUCCCUACUGCGACCACAGACCCGCCCGCAUGCUGACUGUCUUACCCCCGGACCUUUCAGUCACUUGUCUUCCUUCUCCCUGAGUGAUGAACAGGAGAAUUCCCACACCUUGUUUAGUCACAACGCAUAUAAUAAGCUGAGUCAUCCAAUGAUGGCUAUUCCGGAACACGAAACCCUUGAUUCCAAAGAGCAAUGA